rnacentral:tRNA from 1 species
GGGGAGCUAGCUCAGCAGUAGAGCACUUGCCUGGCAUCCAAGAGGCCAUGGGUUUGCUCCCCA